CAAAAACGUUAGUUCAUCGAAGUGCUAUCUUUUCUUUCAAACGGUUUAUAUCAUUUUAUUGAAUACUUUCUUUACGUAGAUAAUCAUGUUACUAGAUAAGAGAAGGUGUAUGGCAAAGAAGAAUUUAACGUUCUUCCUGUGUAUCUUAACGGCAAUCAGCCACUUCCGGUGAAGGAACGGCAAGGUCUGAGCUUGUUCAUAAACUGCUCAAUGACACUCAAUAUGACAACAGCCUACCACCGGAGUAUUCCACAGG
rnacentral:lncRNA from 1 species